CCUUAUCACACCUUCGUCACAGU
rnacentral:miRNA from 10 species